AGCUCAUCCUCCACAGGGGUUGUCUUCUUCACCGGGAGGGAGAGAGCACGAGCGAGGUCAGCACGGCUGACGUUGAUGCGCAAUUCACAAACCGUGCUGCUGCGGGAGGGCGGGGUAUAGUGGGCGAUGAGGUCUGAGAGGAGGUCGGGGCGGAGAGGGUCAGCGGCGAGGUUGAGGUGGGCGAAAUCCCAGAGGCCAAGGAUGCGGAAGAGGCGCUCGUGGCGACCGAGGUCGGGGGCACGGCCG
rnacentral:misc_RNA from 1 species